rnacentral:lncRNA from 1 species
CCUCGGCCCUCAGAGCUUACCUCUGUGAGAAAGGGAAGAAGAUGGUGGAAAGACAAAACCAAAGGAAAAAGUCCGGUCUGCAAGAAUGACAGUGUUCUCCUUAAAGUCUGUGCUGGCCAGCGUACUGUCUACUCCCAGGCCCACCACCAACAAGAGUCUUCUUUGCCGUCGUUUGGACCCUGCUCCCGACACCAUAGUUGCCACCCUUUGCCCUGUGAUGCACCCGUCUCCUUAACCUUGGCCCAUAAUCAGCAAACGCAGCUGACCCCUCCCAGGAGAGGACUAGAGAUGAAAGUGAGGCCCUAUGCAGGUGGGAGGACAGCCUCUGCUCUACCAGCGUCUGCAACGCCUUUCUGUAAGUAUAGAGUUGGAGUUUCUUUUUCCCUCACUUUAUCGUGUUUGCAUCAUCACUAGCUCUCAGUUUAUUUGCAGGCUUUGUAUUAGUUAUCUGCUGCAAAUGACCCCAAACUUAGCGACUUAAAGCAGCAAACAUUGAUUAUCUCACAGUUUCUGCAGGUCGGGAACCCAGGCAUGACUGGUCCCUCCCAAGGCUGCAGUCAAGCUGUGGGCUGGUCUUUCGGUCAUCUUAAGGGUGGCCGCCUCAAGGUAGAUUCGGUCCCAAGCUCCCUGAGUGGUUGUGGGCAGGAUUCGGUUCUCCGGGGCUGUUAGACUGAGCACCGCACUUCCCUGCUGGCUGGGCUGAAGGCCACCACAUGGGCCCCACCAUAGAGUAGCUCACAACAUGGCAACUGGCUUCAUUCUACCAGGCGAGUGAGAAAGCCAGAGAGGCACGUGAGCAAGACGGAAGUUGUAUUUUCAUCUCAGGAGUGAUGCUUCACUGCUUUUGCCUUGUUCUUAGUUAAAAGCAAGUCCCUAGGUUCAGCCGACACUCAGGAGGAGGAGGUUACACAAGAGUUGUGCGAUGGGUAAUUUUUUUGUGUCAACUUGACUGGGUCCAGAUAGUUGGUCAAACGAUAUUCUGGGUGUUUCUGCACAUGUAUUUUUGGGUGAGAUCCACGUUUAUGAGGAUAGGUUGAGUAAAGCAAGAUGGCGCUCCCUAAUGUGGGUGAGCCUGCUCUAAUCCAUUAAGACCUGAAUUGUACAAAAAGGCUGACCUUCCUCCAAGGAAGAGUGAAUUCUCCUUGCCCAACAGCCUUCAACCUAGGACAUGGGCCUUUUCCAGCAUUCAGAUGCAAGCCAAGACACUGGUCCUUCCUGAACCUGGAGUUUGCCAGCCUUUGGACUGGAGCUGUGCCAUUUGCCAUCGGCUCUCCUGGUCCUCAGGCCUCAGACUCAGACGGUGCUUCAUUAUAGGCUGUUCCAGGUCUUGAGCUUGCUGACUCAUCCUGCAGGUCUUGGGACUUGCCCACCUCCAUAUCCUCGUGAGCCAAUUCUCUAUAAUAAAUCUCC